GCCAAAGAGAAAUACGCAAGAAGGGCCACCUUGGAGGAAACUUGCUGGAGAGCUUCUUUCUCCUCCCGGCUGGACCUCAUCCUUAUCCUCUCUCUCUCUCUCUCCCACCCCCCCUCCUCUUGCCAUUCCCCACCCCUCCCUUGCUGCAGCUGGGGGUGGGACGGAAUAGCCUUCCCUCUGCCCUUUCCUCGAUCCAACAGGCUCCCUUCUCUUUCCAGCCCAGAGCGCUUUAAAAAGCUCUUCCUCUUGUGCCGGAGCCACUCGGGUCAGGAGGGAGCGGGUCGCAUCCUGCCUUGCUUUGCCUUGCCAGAGGAGGAGAGAGGAGUAGAAGAGGGGCAGGGUUUAACCCGUCGGCUGCCAGGGCCCUCUCCUGAAAGCAGCUGCCCUCUCCCUCGCCUCCUGCCCGACUGCACAGGACACCUCCCUCCACACACACACACAAACACGCACACACCUCAGAACAGAAAACCCCACACCGUAACUGCUGCCUGGCGCCUGAGAAGGAGAAACCACCUCUGCCUCGUUUCAGCCGGGAUCUCAGAAGAAGAAAACAAGAGAAAGCGGCUCAAAAGCAGUCAAGCAACCCAAUGAAAAGAAGACUUGAAGUGACUGGUCUUUAUCAUUCCUGGCCUUCUUUUGAGGCAGAUCUUUUCUUGGAUAAGAGCUGGAAAAAUACAACUGCUACCACUUUUGUAAUGAGAAACAACCCCCCCUCACUCUUGUGGUGCCUUCUGCCCUGCAGCUCCCCUUUCUUCCUUCUUCUGUCUAGUGAGAACUGUGACAAACCCAGACCUACUGGGAUCUGCCACACAUUUACACUAAGCUGCCACCAACCAUUCCCUGUAAGAAGUCACACAGACCAGGGAUGGAUUUUUAAACAAUAAAAAGAAUAAGGUUUAUUUAAAUACA
rnacentral:lncRNA from 1 species